rnacentral:rRNA from 1 species
GAUGAACGCUGGCGGCGUGCCUAAUACAUGCAAGUCGAGCGAAGCGGGGACGGGUGAGUAACACGUGGAUAACCUCCUAUAAGUCUGGGAUAACUUCGGGAAACCGGAGCUAAAUCGGAUACUUAUAGAUGGCUCCGCGCUGCAUUAGCUAGUUGGUAAGGUAACGGGUUACCAAGGCAACGAUGCAUAGCCGGCCUGAGAGGGGGAUAGGCAACACGGGAACUGAGACACGGUCCAGACGCCUACGGGAGGAAGCGGUGGGGAAUCUGCCGCAAUGGGCGAAAGCCUGACGGAGCAACGCCGCGUGAGUGAUGAAGGUAUUCGGAUCGUAAAACUCUGUUAUUAGGGAAGCGGUACCGAAUCAGAAAGCCACGGCUAACUACGUGCCAGCAGCCGCGGUAAUAC